GCCGGGGUGGUGGAACUGGUUUACACGAUAGACUCAAAAUCUAUUGGGCUUCGGCCCAUGCGGGUUCGAAUCCCGCCCCCGGCA
rnacentral:tRNA from 1 species